AUUGAACGCUGGCGGCAGGCUUAACACAUGCAAGUCGAACGAGUGGCGGACGGGUGAGUAAUGCUUGGGAAUCUAGCUUAUGGAGGGGGAUAACUACGGGAAACUGUAGCUAAUACCGCGUACCAUAGGAUGAGCCCAAGUGGGAUUAGGUAGUUGGGGCGGUAAAGGCUCACCAAGCCGACGAUCUCUAGCUGGUCUGAGAGGCUGACAAGCCACACUGGGACUGAGAAACGGCCCAGACUCCGACGGGAGGCAGCAGUGGGGAAUAUUGCGUAAUGGGGGCAACCCUGACGAAGCCAUGCCGCGUGUAUGAAGAAGGCCUUAGGGUUGUAAAGUACGUUCAGCGGGGAGGCGUUACCCGCAGAAGAAGCACCGGCUAACUCCGUGCCAGCAGCCGCGGUAAUUC
rnacentral:rRNA from 1 species